UUGCCUUGGACUACUGAAGUUGUAGAAACAAACAGCUGGAUGAUGUGAUCCUUACCUAGCUACUGCAAAUGUGCGCCUCCAAAUAAAGAUGGUAAAGAAGUGAGAUGUCUCACUCUGUGGCUAAAACAGAGACUGAG